UAAAUAGAUACCCGAGGUAGUCCACGCCCUAAACGACUGCGAACUGGAUGUUGGGUACAUUACGGUACUCAGUGUCGAAGCUAACGCGUUAAGUUCGCCGCCUGGGGAGUACGGUCGCAAGACUGAAACUCAAAGGAAUUGACGGGGGCCCGCACAAGCGGUGGAGUAUGUGGUUUAACUCGAUGCAACGCGAAGAACCUUACCUGGCCUUGACAUCUGUCGAAUCCUGCAGAGAUGCGGGAGUGCCGCAAGGAACGACAAGACAGGUGCUGCAUGGCUGUCGUCAGCUCGUGUCGUGAGAUGUUGGGUUAAGUCCCGCAACGAGCGCAACCCUUGUCCCUAGUUGCCAACACGUAAUGGUGGGAACUCUAGGGAGACUGCCGGUGACAAACCGGAGGAAGGUGGGGAUGACGUCAAGUCCUCAUGGCCCUUACGGCCAGGGCUACACACGUACUACAAUGGUCGGUACAGAGGGUUGCGAAGCCGCGAGGUGGGGCCAAUCCCAGAAAGCCGAUCCCAGUCCGGAUUGGAGU
rnacentral:rRNA from 1 species